rnacentral:tRNA from 1 species
GGCCCAAUGGUCUAGUAGUAUGAUUCGCCCUUCGGGUCGUACCCCAGUGUUACACUGAAAAUGGGCGAGGUCCCGGGUUCAAUUCCCGGUUGGGCCC